UUUUAGAGACACAUUUCUAGA
ensembl:piRNA 21ur-10519 ncRNA